rnacentral:rRNA from 1 species
GACGUAGGGCGCGAGCGUUGUCCGGAUUUAUUGGGCGUAAAGAGCUCGUAGGCGGCUUGUUACGUCGACUGUGAAAACCCGCGGCUCAACUCCGGGCUUGCAUUCGAUACGGGCAGGCUAGAGUUCGGUAGGGGAGUCUGGAAUUCCUGGUGUAGCGGUGAAAUGCGCAGAUAUCAGGAGGAACACCGGUGGCGAAGGCGGGACUCUGGGCCGAUACUGACGCUGAGGAGCGAAAGCGUGGGGAGCGAACAGG